ACUGCGGCGAGGGCGGGGGAGGGGCUGCGGUGACGUCACUGCCCGGCGCUGCUCCUUAGCGGGUUGCUGUAGGGCGGCCGGCGCCUGGGGCUGGUCUCUAGGGAGCCCUGGAGUCCUGGGUGGGAGCCAGGCGCCAGACCUUCGCGCUGGGGCGCUGAGGUUCCCUCCAGACCCGGCCGUCGUUGUCACACCGCCUUCUUACACCUGCCUACCGACGCCGAUCUUCUGGCGCAGUCGCGGUUAGGGCCCGGCGUGGGGCAGUCCGCCUCCCCUUCGACCCCAGGAGUCCCACACGGGUGCCACAUACCGCAUACGUGUGUGUAUGUGUAACCAGUUCACGCCUUGGGACACGUGCCUAGAGCUUUUGGCAGGUUGUUCCUGUGUCGCUCUAGGGAUUCCGAAUUGUAUUUAUGUGCACGUUACACGGUCACGUGAUUCCGUCUCAACGGGCAUUUCCAAAGACCUCCAAUGAGGUUAAUGGAACCGAGGGUUUUUCCAAAUCUAGAGGACAAUCAGAAACGUGACAGCUGCCUCCUCGAAGAGCUAGAGAUGCGCUAAAGUCCAGCAAACUGUGUCUCUACUUCAGAAGUUGUGAAACCAUUUCCGAUACUUUCAGCAUGGCUUUUGAGAGAAGAUUCUGUUUCCUUCACUUUUACACCUGACUCCUAACGGCAAUGACCUCAUCCUCACUGAACCUCCAAAUCACUCAAUAUCUAGGAGUAAGACGAAAAUGUAAGAUUUCCAGGAAUUUAAAGUAAAGAUAAGAUUCGCUAUGCGUUUCUUAGUUCUCUACACAAGUACUGAAAAUAAAUAAAAUUAAAUUGAAAAUCCUUUAA